GUGGACGUGCUAGAGUGGUUAUCGAGAAUGACUAGAGAUCAUCUGGGCUCUACCCAUGCAGGUUUGAAUCCUGUCGUUCACA
rnacentral:tRNA from 1 species